AAACAUUUAAAGACAAAAGAGGAAGUGACCAAGCACAUACUGAAGUUCAUGGUAGCAGGACAAAGAUCCAAGUGGACAAAGUCAUGAGAAAUCUGAUCCGAAUUCUGGGCUGACCCUGCUUUGAGCAAGAGACUGGACUAUAGAGCCAGCCUGAGAGAUCCCACAACUCUCUGAGGGCAUUGCCAGACCUCUGUUCUACAGCUCUAGUGCAUAUGUGAAGAGUGAUAAAGGUGAUCAGGCUUAUGGAGCAGUUUCUGUGUGAUAAAAGAAGU